rnacentral:sRNA from 25 species
ACACAGGAAGGGAGGUGGUCCGGGAAUUGAUAGCUUCAUGGACAUGUGAGGUGGCUGCGCGCUAGCUGCAGUGGCUCGGAAGAGCUGGCGAUUCACGCGCGCUAGCGAAUUCCCCGCAGUCACCCGGCCCCCGAGCUUCCGGUUUGUCCAACCAGGAGCAUUGCUCGGGGGCCGCGCCAU